CUGUGUGCGCCAACUGGGCGUCUCACGGCACGGAAUGACAAAUCGCACCGCAGCUAUUAGGCGGCCCGAGUAGGGGAGAGAACGCUGAGCACCACAAC
rfam:Dietzia timorensis strain ID05-A0528, complete genome.